UUUCUCUUGGUUUUGAUUUAAUUGAAAAAGCAUCCACAUCCUAAGAGGAGGGAGCUGGACGAGAAAAACAAAAAAAAAUAUCAAAGCUAAUCUCCUAAGACCAAGAAAAGAGAAUGGGGGAACGAAUUCUUGACAAAAAAAGGAAAUAAUUGGGGGAAUGGACGAAAAAGGAGUAGAGGUUGAAAGAGAUUAACUCUUUCUUUGGUAGAGUGGAGAACAAAAAAGGACAGAAGGAUUUGGCCACCUUCUGAAACUACUUUAAUUCCCCUAUUUCUAACUUCUACACCUCCUGAUGCUUAAUUGGUUUUUAGCAAAUCGUAAUUAGCUAGGUCCAAUCAUGCUCCAUUUUCUUGCUUCAAUUCGUAACUAUAACAGCGGAGAUAAUGUACAGAAACAUCCAUCUGAUUGGCAACAUCGUCGUGCUUGUUUGUUCUUUCACAACUCAAGGUGUUAGAUUCGAGAUUUCGGUUUGUAAUUUUGGUAUUUUGAUCCAAAGAUUGUUGCUUUUUUAGCCCGAUUGCUUCUCAAUUUUCAAUCUUG
rnacentral:lncRNA from 1 species